rnacentral:rRNA from 1 species
AGCUCCAAUAGCGUAUAUUAAAGUUGUUGCGGUUAAAAAGCUCGUAGUUGGUUCUGUGUGCCACGCUGUCGGUUCACCGCCUGCCGGUGCAACUGACAUGCCGUGGGAUGUCUUGCCGGAGGGGGCCGAAACCCUUCAGCGGCUUCCCGUUGUUGGGCUCAGGUCCUCGCAAUGCUGCCACGGUGCUCUUCACCGAGUGUCGGGGCAGGCCGACAAGAUUACUUUGAACAAAUUAGAGUGCUUAAAGCAGGCUUAAUUUCGCCUGAAUAGUUGUGCAUGGAAUAAUGGAAUAUGACCUUGUUUCUGUUUUGUUGGCUUUCGGAAUUCACGGUAAUGAUCAAUGUGGACAGGCGGGGGCAUUCGUAUUGCGACGUUAGAGGUGAAAUUCUUGGAUCGUCGCAAGACGAACUAGAGCGAAAGCAUUUGCCAAGUAUGUCUUA